rnacentral:rRNA from 1 species
GAUGAACGCUGGCGGCGUGCCUAAUACAUGCAAGUCGAGCGAACAGACGAGGAGCUUGCUCCUCUGACGUUAGCGGCGGACGGGUGAGUAACACGUGGAUAACCUACCUAUAAGACUGGGAUAACUUCGGGAAACCGGAGCUAAUAUCGGAUAAUAUAUUGAACCGCAUGGUUCAAUAGUGAAAGACGGUUUUGCUGUUACUUAUAGAUGGAUCCGCGCCGCAUUAGCUAGUUGGUAAGGUAACGGCUUACCAAGGCAACGAUGCGUAGCCGACCUGAGAGGGUGAUCGGCCACACUAGAACUGAGACACGGUCCAGACUCCUACGGGAGGCAGCAGUAGGGAAUCUUCCGCAAUGGGCGAAAGCCUGACGGAGCAACGCCGCGUGAGUGAUGAAGGUCUUCGGAUCGGAAAACUCUGUUAUUAGGGAAGAACAAAUGUGUAAGUAACUAGGCACGUCUUGACGGUACCUAAUCAGAAAGCCAGGGCUAACUACGUG